rnacentral:rRNA from 1 species
GACGAACGCUGGCGGCGUGCUUAACACAUGCAAGUCGAACGGAAAGGCCCUGCUUGCAGGGUGCUCGAGUGGCGAACGGGUGAGUAACACGUGGGUGAUCUGCCCCUUACUUUGGGAUAAGCCUGGGAAACUGGGUCUAAUACUGGAUAGGACCAUGCUGUAGGUGGUGUGGUGGAAAGAUUUUUUCGGUAAGGGAUGAGCUCGCGGCCUAUCAGCUUGUUGGUGGGGUAAUGGCCUACCAAGGCGUCGACGGGUAGCCGGCCUGAGAGGGUGGACGGCCACAGUGGGACUGCGCUACGGCCCAGACUCCUAGGGGAGGCAGCAGUGGGGAAUAUUGCACAAUGGGCGCAAGCCUGAUGCAGCGACGCCGCGUGGGGGAUGACGGCCUUCGGGUUGUAAACUCCUUUCAGCCAUGACGAAGCCUCUUUUGGGGUGACGGUAGUGGUAGAAGAAGCACCGGCUAACUACGUG